UUUUUUUCGCACAAGCCGGUGGAGCAUGUGGUUUAAUUCGAAGCAACGCGAAGAACUUUACCAGGUCUUGACAUCCACUGAAUCCCUUAGAGAUAAGGGAGUGCCCUUUCGGGGGAACAGUGAGACAGGUGGUGCAUGGUUGUCGUCAGCUCGUGUCGUGAGAUGUUGGGUUAAGUCCCGCAACGAGCGCAACCCUUGUGAAUAGUUGCUACGAAAGAGCACUCUAUUCAGACCGCCGCUGACAAAGCGGAGGAAGGUGGGGAUGACGUCAAAUCAUCAUGCCCCUUAUGACCUGGGCUACACACGUACUACAAUGGUCGUCAACAGAGGGAAGCAAGGCCGCGAGGUGGAGCGAACCCCUAAAAACGAUCUCAGUUCGGAUUGCAGGCUGCAACUCGCCUGCAUGAAGAUGGAAUUGCUAGUAAUCGCGGAUCAGCAUGCCGCGGUGAAAGUUUCCCCGGCAAAAAAAAGAAA
rnacentral:rRNA from 1 species